rnacentral:rRNA from 1 species
GCAUUUGACCUCAAAUCAGGUAGAUUACCC